CCUCCUAAAGAGUAACGGAGGAGUACGAAGGUGCGCUCAGCGUGGUCGGAAAUCACGCGUAGAGUAUAAAGGCAAAAGCGCGCUUAACUGCGAGACCCACAAGUCGAGCAGGUACGAAAGUAGGUCUUAGUGAUCCGGUGGUUCUGUAUGGAAGGGCCAUCGCUCAACGGAUAAAAGGUACUCUGGGGAUAACAGGCUGAUACCGCCCAAGAGUUCAUAUCGACGGCGGUGUUUGGCACCUCGAUGUCGGCUCAUCUCAUCCUGGGGCUGAAGCAGGUCCCAAGGGUAUGGCUGUUCGCCAUUUAAAGAGGUACGCGAGCUGGGUUUAGAACGUCGUGAGACAGUUCGGUCCCUAUCUACCGUGGGCGCUGGAAAUUUGAGAGGAUCUGCUCCUAGUACGAGAGGACCAGAGUGGACGAACCUCUGGUGUACCGGUUGUGACGCCAGUCGCAUCGCCGGGUAGCUAUGUUCGGAAGGGAUAACCGCUGAAAGCAUCUAAGCGGGAAGCCUACCUCAAGAUAAGAUUUCCCUAGGACUUUAUGUCCUCUAAAGAGCCGUUCGAGACUAGGACGUUGAUAGGUUGGAUGUGGAAGCAUAGUGAUAUGUGAAGCUGACCAAUACUAAUUGCUCGUGAGGCUUGACUAU
rnacentral:rRNA from 1 species